rnacentral:rRNA from 1 species
GAUGAACGCUGGCGGCGUGCUUAACACAUGCAAGUCGAACGGGAUCCAUCAGGCUUUGCUUGGUGGUGAGAGUGGCGAACGGGUGAGUAAUGCGUGACCGACCUGCCCCAUACACCGGAAUAGCUCCUGGAAACGGGUGGUAAUGCCGGAUGCUCCGACUCCUCGCAUGGGGUGUCGGGAAAGAUUUCAUCGGUAUGGGAUGGGGUCGCGUCCUAUCAGGUAGUCGGCGGGGUAACGGCCCACCGAGCCUACGACGGGUAGCCGGCCUGAGAGGGCGACCGGCCACAUUGGGACUGAGAUACGGCCCAGACUCCUACGGGAGGCAGCAGUGGGGAAUAUUGCACAAUGGGCGCAAGCCUGAUGCAGCGACGCCGCGUGCGGGAUGACGGCCUUCGGGUUGUAAACCGCUUUUGAUCGGGAGCAAGCC